GGCUGGUUAGCUCAGUCAGUCAGAGCAUGGUGCUGAUAACACCAAGGUCGCGGGUUUGAUCCCCAUUCAGCCC
rnacentral:tRNA from 1 species